UACGAAGCGUGCAAGCGUUACUCGGAAUUACUGGGCGUAAAGCGUGCGUAGGUGGUUUUUUAAGUCCGUUGUGAAAGCCCUGGGCUCAACCUGGGAAUGGCAGUGGAUACUGGAAAGCUAGAGUACUAAAGAGGAUCGCGGAAUUCCCGGUGUAGAGGUGAAAUUCGUAGAUAUCGGGAGGAACACCGGUGGCGAAGGCGGCGAUCUGGGUAGAUACUGACGCUGAGGUGCGAAAGCGUGGGGAGCAAACAGG
rnacentral:rRNA from 1 species